rnacentral:rRNA from 1 species
AGUGGCGGACGGGUGAGUAACGCGUGAGAAUCUGGCUUCAGGUUCGGGACAACAGUUGGAAACGGCUGCUAAUACCGGAUGUGCCUUAGGGUGAAAGAUAUAUCACCUGAAGAUGAGCUCGCGUCUGAUUAGCUAGUAGGUGUGGUAAGAGCGCACCUAGGCGACGAUCAGUAGCUGGUCUGAGAGGAUGAUCAGCCACACUGGGACUGAGACACGGCCCAGACUCCUACGGGAGGCAGCAGUGGGGAAUUUUCCGCAAUGGGCGAAAGCCUGACGGAGCAAUACCGCGUGAGGGAGGAAGGCUCUUGGGUUGUAAACCUCUUUUCUCAGGGAAGAAUGUGACGGUACCUGAGGAAUAAGCAUCGGCUAACUCCGUGCCAGCAGCCGCGGUAAUACGGAGGAUGCAAGCGUUAUCCGGAAUGAUUGGGCGUAAAGCGUCCGCAGGUGGCAAUGUAAGUCUGCUGUCAAAGCGUCUGGCUCAACCAGAUAAAGGCAGUGGAAACUACAUAGCUAGAGUAAGGUAGGGGUAGAGGGAAUUCCUGGUGUAGCGGUGAAAUGCGUAGAGAUCAGGAAGAACACCGGUGGCGAAAGCGCUCUGCUGGACCUUAACUGACACUGAGGGACGAAAGCUAGGGGAGCGAAUGGGAUUAGAUACCCCAGUAGUCCUAGCCGUAAACGAUGGAUACUAGGCGUUGCCCGUAUCGACCCGGGCAGUGUCGUAGCUAACGCGUUAAGUAUUCCGCCUGGGGAGUACGCAGCAACUGUGAAACUCAAAGGAAUUGACGGGGGCCCGCACAAGCGGUGGAGUAUGUGGUUUAAUUCGAUGCACGCGAAGACCUUACCAGGGCUUGACAUGUCCGGAAUCCUCUUGAAGGGAAGAGUGCCU